rnacentral:rRNA from 1 species
UGGGCAACCUGCCCCAGACACAGGGAUAACCCCGGGAAACCGGGGCUAAUACCGGAUACUCCGGUCGAACCGCAUGGCUCGAUCGGGAAAGCUCCGACGGUCUGGGAUGGGCCCGCGGCCUAUCAGCUUGUUGGUGGGGUGAAGGCCUACCAAGGCGACGACGGGUAGCUGGUCUGAGAGGGUGACCGGCCACACUGGGACUGAGACACGGCCCAGACUCCUACGGGAG